rnacentral:rRNA from 1 species
UACGUAGGGAGCAAGCGUUGUUCGGAUUUACUGGGCGUAAAGGGCGCGUAGGCGGCAAUUCAAGUCAUCUGUGAAAUCUCCGGGCUUAACUCGGAACGGUCAGAUGAUACUGCUUUGCUAGAGUGCAGAAGGGCAAUCGGAAUUCUCGGUGUAGCGGUGAAAUGCGCAGAUAUCAGGAGGAACACCGGUGGCGAAGGCGGGUUGCUGGGCUGAUACUGACGCUGAGGCGCGAAAGCCAGGGGAGCGAACGGG